AUGAACGCUAGCGGCAGGCCUAACACAUGCAAGUCGAGGGGUAGAACACUUCGGUGUUUGAGACCGGCGCACGGGUGCGUAACGCGUAUGUAAUCUACCUUAUACAGGGGAAUAGCCCAGAGAAAUUUGGAUUAAUGCCCCAUAGCAUUACGACUUGGCAUCAAGAUGUAAUUAAAGUUCCAACGGUAUAAGAUGAGCAUGCGUCCCAUUAGUUAGUUGGUAAGGUAACGGCUUACCAAGACAAUGAUGGGUAGGGGUCCUGAGAGGGAGAUCCCCCACACUGGUACUGAGACACGGACCAGACUCCUACGGGAGGCAGCAGUGAGGAAUAUUGGUCAAUGGGCGCAAGCCUGAACCAGCCAUGCCGCGUGCAGGAAGACGGUCCUAUGGAUUGUAAACUGCUUUUAUACAGGAAGAAACACCUCCACGUGUGGAGGCUUGACGGUACUGUAGGAAUAAGGAUCGGCUAACUCCGU
rnacentral:rRNA from 1 species